AGAUUGAACGCUGGCGGCAUGCCUUACACAUGCAAGUCGAACGGUAACGCGGGGCAACCUGGCGACGAGUGGCGAACGGGUGAGUAAUGCAUCGGAACGUGCCCAGUAGUGGGGGAUAGCUCGGCGAAAGCCGGAUUAAUACCGCAUACGACCUAAGGGUGAAAGCGGGGGACCGUAAGGCCUCGCGCUAUUGGAGCGGCCGAUGUCAGAUUAGGUUGUUGGUGGGGUAAAAGCCUACCAAGCCGACGAUCUGUAGCUGGUCUGAGAGGACGACCAGCCACACUGGGACUGAGACACGGCCCAGACUCCUACGGGAGGCAGCAGUGGGAAUUUGGACAAUGGGCGCAAGCCUGAUCCAGCAAUGCCGCGUGCAGGAAGAAGGCCUUCGGGUGUAAACUGCUUUGUCAGGAAGAAAUCUUACUGGCUUAAGUACCGUACGGAGGAUGAACGGUACCUAGAAGAAUAAGCGACCGGACUAACC
rnacentral:rRNA from 1 species